GUCGUGGCCGAGUGGUUAAGGCGAUGGGGGUCUCCCCGCAUUGGGGUCUCCCCGCACAGGUUCGAAUCCUGUCGAC
rnacentral:tRNA from 1 species